UGGGGAAUCUUGCACAAUGGGGGAAACCCUGAUGCAGCGACGCCGCGUGAGCGAUGAAGGUUUUCGAAUCGUAAAGCUCUGUCCUAUGGGAAGAUAAUGACGGUACCAUAGGAGGAAGCCCCGGCUAACUACGUGCCAGCAGCCGCGGUAAUACGUAGGGGGCGAGCGGUGUCCGGAAUUACUGGGCGUAAAGGGUUCGCAGGCGGCAUGACAAGUCCGAUGUAAAAGGCGAAAGCUCAACUUUCGUAAGCAUCGGAAACUGUCAAGCUUUAGUGAAGGAGAAGCAAGUGGAAUUCCUAGUGUAGCGGUGGAAUGCGUAGAUAUUAGGAGGAAUACCGGUGGCGAAGGCGACUUGCUGGACUUCAACUGACGCUGAGGAACGAAAGCGUGGGUAGCAAACAGG
rnacentral:rRNA from 1 species